rnacentral:misc_RNA from 1 species
CAGAAAUACUUGGUUGGGUUGUUGCUGGUUCUUUGGAACAUGUGCACACCUACAUCAACAUUUUUCUUUACCCACCUGUGCACCUUGUGAUGGACCCUAGAUACUUUUCGAGCAUUUUCCUCGGUUUUUUGGGGGAAUAGCUUUAUGUAGCUUUUCCUCUACAUUUCUAGGUCCAUUGUUAUUUAUACACAUUUGUUUUAAAAAAGAACAUGUUUUAUUAUUAAAAUAAUAAUA